rnacentral:rRNA from 1 species
CAAAAAGGUCUCGUUGGUGACCAGCGGAGGGACAUUACCGAGUUUACAACUCCCAAACCCAAUGUGAACGUUACCAAACUGUUGCCUCGGCGGGAUCUCUGCCCCGGGUGCGUCGCAGCCCCGGACCAAGGCGCCCGCCGGAGGACCAACCAAAACUCUUAUUGUAUACCCCCUCGCGGGUUUUUUUAUAAUCUGAGCCUUCUCGGCGCCCCUCGUGGGCGUUUCGAAAAUGAAUCAAAACUUUCAACAACGGAUCUCUUGGUUCUGGCAUCGAUGAAGAACGCAGCGAAAUGCGAUAAGUAAUGUGAAUUGCAGAAUUCAGUGAAUCAUCGAAUCUUUGAACGCACAUUGCGCCCGCCAGUAUUCUGGCGGGCAUGCCUGUCCGAGCGUCAUUUCAACCCUCGAACCCCUCCGGGGGGUCGGCGUUGGGGAUCGGCCCUCCCUCUGCGGGGGCCGUCUCCGAAAUACAGUGGCGGUCUCGCCGCAGCCUCUCCUGCGCAGUAGUUUGCACACUCGCACCGGGAGCGCGGCGCGUCCACAGCCGUUAAACACCCAACUUUCUGAAAUGUUGACCUCGGAUCAGGUAGGAAUACCCGCUGAACUUAAGCAUAUCAAUAAGCGGAGGA